rnacentral:rRNA from 1 species
GACGAACGCUGGCGGCGUGCUUAACACAUGCAAGUCGAACGGAAAGGCCCUGCUUUUGUUGGGUGCUCGAUUGGCGAACGGGUGAGUAACACGUGUGUAACCUGCCCUUGACUUUGUGAUAACUUCAGGAAACUCGGGCUAAUACCGGAUAUGAUCUCUUGCUGCAUGGGGUGGGUUGGAAAGUUUCGGCGUUGGUGGAUGGACUGGCGGCUUAUCAGCUUGUUUGGGUGGUAGUGGCUUACCAAGGCUUUGACGGGUAGCCGGCCUGAGAGGGUUACCGGACACAAUGGGACUGAGAGACGGACCAGAAGGCUACGGGAGGCAGUAGUGGGGAGCAUUGCAGAGCGGGCGGAAGCCUGAUGCAGCAAUGCCGCGAGCGGGAUGCUGGCUUACGGGUUGUAAACAGAUUUGGAAGGUGACGAAGAGUGAGUGACGGUAAUGGGUCAAGAAGCAACGGCUAACUACGUG